UACGGGAGGCAGCAGUGGGGAAUAUUGGACAAUGGGCGCAAGCCUGAUCCAGCCAUGCCGCGUGUGUGAAGAAGGCCUUUUGGUUGUAAAGCACUUUAAGCGAGGAGGAGGCUCUCUUAGUUAAUACCUAAGAUGAGUGGACGUUACUCGCAGAAUAAGCACCGGCUAACUCUGUGCCAGCAGCCGCGGUAAUACAGAGGGUGCGAGCGUUAAUCGGAUUUUUACUGGGCGUAAAGCGUGCGUAGGCGGCUUUUUUAAGUCGGAUGUGAAAUCCCCGAGCUUAACUUGGGAAUUGCAUUCGAUACUGGGAAGCUAGAGUAUGGGAGAGGAUGGUAGAAUUCCAGGUGUAGCGGUGAAAUGCGUAGAGAUCUGGAGGAAUACCGAUGGGCGAAGGCAGCCAUCGUGCCUAAUCGUGACGCUGGAGUACGAAGCAGGUGGGA
rnacentral:rRNA from 1 species